GAUGAACGCUGGCGGCGUGCCUAAUACAUGCAAGUCGAGCGAACAGACGAGGAGCUUGCUCCUCUGACGUUAGCGGCGGACGGGUGAGUAACACGUGGAUAACCUACCUAUAAGACUGGGAUAACUUCGGGAAACCGGAGCUAAUACCGGAUAAUAUAUUGAACCGCAUGGUUCAAUAGUGAAAGACGGUUUUGCUGUCACUUAUAGAUGGAUCCGCGCCGCAUUAGCUAGUUGGUAAGGUAACGGCUUACCAAGGCAACGAUGCGUAGCCGACCUGAGAGGGUGAUCGGCCACACUGGAACUGAGACACGGACCAGACUCCUACGGGAGGCAGCAGUAGGGAAUCUUCCGCAAAGGGCGAAAGCCUGACGGAGCAACGCCGCGUGAGUGAUGAAGGUCUUCGGAUCGUAAAACUCUGUUAUUAGGGAAGAACAAAUGUGUAAGUAACUAUGCACGUCUUGACGGUACCUAAUCAGAAAGCCACGGCUAACUACGUG
rnacentral:rRNA from 1 species